rnacentral:lncRNA from 1 species
GCCCAACUCUUUAUUUGCAUUGGUCACACCAAAAUGUAACGAACGCACAUACAUAGAGCUUGCACUUUGUACAUCGAACCAAGCCCUUUAGAGCCUUCUCUUUCUCGACUACAUCUCUGGCCUCAUUUAUCACAUGCAUUUGGGAGAUUCACUCCCAUUUGAACCCUCUGAUAUUCGAUCCACUUUAUUGAUUGAGCAUGGGUUAGCUGUUCCACAUCACACGGCCAAUAUAGGCCACACACACACCACAAUGAGAGAUCACCAACAUAGAAAAAUAUGUUUUAGUUCCCACUCAAUCCCAUCCUACAUCUAGCCUCUGGUUUGGAUCAUUUAACCCUCUAAAUUUUGUCUCAUUUUUACCCAACAUAUUAUAGAUUCAACACUUAACUCCCUUCAAGGCUUACAUUUAGCAGUCCUAGUCUAGUAUCAUUCCUAGUAAUAAAUCUUUAAAUUAAUUAUGUGAGUCGUCUGAGAGCUUCCUUCAACCUAACUUUAUUUGGUUCACUAUUCUCCAUCACCCUGAACACCUUCCCUUAUUAUUCUUCCCCUCUAUGUGUUUGGUUUGUUAGGUUUU